CCGCAGUGCCGUAGUUAACACAAUAAGCACUCCGCCUGGGGAGUACGGUCGCAAGACUGAAACUCAAAGGAAUUGACGGGGGCCCGCACAAGCGGUGGAGUAUGUGGUUUAAUUCGACGCAACGCGAAGAACCUUACCAGGGCUUGACAUCCUCUGAAAGCCAUAGAGAUAUGGACCUUACCCUUCGGGGUAACAGAGAGACAGGUGGUGCAUGGUUGUCGUCAGCUCGUGUCGUGAGAUGUUGGGUUAAGUCCCGCAACGAGCGCAACCCCUAACAUUAGUUGCCAGCGAGUAAGGUCGGGAACUCUAAUGUGACUGCCGUUGACAAAACGGAGGAAGGUGGGGAUGACGUCAAAUCAUCAUGCCCCUUAUGUCCUGGGCUACACACGUACUACAAUGGCCGGUACAGACGGAAGCGAAGCCGUGAGGCGGAGCAAAACUGAGAAAGCCGGUCCCAGUUCGGAUUGUAGUCUGCAACUCGACUACAUGAAGUCGGAAUCGCUAGUAAUCGCAGGUCAGCAUACUGCGGUGAAUACGUUCCCGGGCCUUGUACACACCGCCCGUCACACCACGAAAGCUGACAACACCCGAAGCCGGUGAGCUAACCGAAAGGAGGCAGCCGUCGAAGGUGGGGUUGGUGAUUGGGGUGAAGUCGUAACAAGGUAACCAA
rnacentral:rRNA from 1 species